CCUACGGGGGGCUGCAGUGGGGAAUAUUGGACAAUGGGCGCAAGCCUGAUCCAGCAAUGCCGCGUGGGUGAAGAAGGUCUUCGGAUUGUAAAGCCCUUUCGGCGGGGACGAUGAUGACGGUACCCGCAGAAGAAGCCCCGGCUAACUUCGUGCCAGCAGCCGCGGUAAUACGAAGGGGGCUAGCGU
rnacentral:rRNA from 1 species